rnacentral:rRNA from 1 species
UACGUAGGGUGCGAGCGUUAAUCGGAAUUACUGGGCGUAAAGCGUGCGCAGGCGGUCUGUUAAGACCGAUGUGAAAUCCCCGGGCUUAACCUGGGAACGGCAUUUGGGACUGCAAGGCUGGAGUUUGGCAGAGGAGACUGGAAUUCCUGGUGUAGCAGUGAAAUGCGUAGAUAUCAGGAGGAAUACCGAUGGCGAAGGCAGGUCUCUGGGACGUUACUGACGCUGAGACGCGAAAGCGUGGGGAGCAAACAGG